rnacentral:rRNA from 1 species
GAUGUCAAAUAUGAUGGCUCAACCAUCAAGAGGCGUUGUAAAACUGUUUAUCUAGAAUACUCGGAGAGGUAAGUGGAAUUCCAUGUGUAGCGGUGGAAUGCGUAGAUAUAUGGAGGAACACCAAUGGCGAAGGCAGCUUACUGGACGAAGAUUGACGCUGAGGUGCGAAAGCGUGGGUAGCAAACAGGAUUAGAUACCCCUGGUAG